AGUUAUAGAUUUUCAUAUUUUUUUUAAUUAUAUAAUAAUUGAUCGCGAAUAGAUAGGAUGAGAUGAAAUUCUCCAAAAUCUCAACGGCCAAUUAGAAUAUAACAAGUGUCAUUAUUUAAAAAAAACAAAAAAAAAAACUAGAAAAGAUUCAGUCGUCCAACGUGUGUGUUAACUACACACUCCAAUUAGGUGAUGACACAUGGCAUGCGCGGGUUUUCUUUCAACAUGUUGAAAUAAAUUCAUCAUAGUUGAAUCGACGUAGAUUUUCCUACUUUUU
rnacentral:lncRNA from 1 species